rnacentral:rRNA from 1 species
GGUUAAGCGACUAAGCGUACACGGUGGAUGCCCUGGCAGUCAGAGGCGAUGAAGGGCGUGCUAAUCUGCGAUAAGCGCCGGUAAGGUGAUAUGAACCGUUAUAACCGGCGAUACCCGAAUGGGGAAACCCAGUGUGACUUGUCACACUAUCAUUAACUGAAUCCAUAGGUUAAUGAGGCGAACCGGGGGAACUGAAACAUCUAAGUACCCCGAGGAAAAGAAAUCAACCGAGAUUCCCCCAGUAGCGGCGAGCGAACGGGGAGGAGCCCAGAGCCUGAAUCAGCAUGUGUGUUAGUGGAAGCGUCUGGAAAGGCGCGCGAUACAGGGUGACAGCCCCGUACACAAAAGCGCAUGUGCUGUGAGCUCGAUGAGUAGGGCGGGACACGUGGUAUCCUGUCUGAAUAUGGGGGGACCAUCCUCCAAGGCUAAAUACUCCUGACUGACCGAUAGUGAACCAGUACCGUGAGGGAAAGGCGAAAAGAACCCCGGCGAGGGGAGUGAAAAAGAACCUGAAACCGUGUACGUACAAGCAGUGGGAGCCCCACCACCAAAGCAUUCUCUGGUGUUGAAGGCCCUGCAAAGCAGCAUCGCGGUGGCGGAGCGUCGUUUGCGACGCCCGACACACAAAACAAGCGGUGAGUGCUUUGGGGUGGGGUGACUGCGUACCUUUUGUAUAAUGGGUCAGCGACUUAUAUUCUGUAGCAAGGUUAACCGUAUAGGGGAGCCGGAGGGAAACCGAGUCUUAAUUGGGCGUUAAGUUGCAGGGUAUAGACCCGAAACCCGGUGAUCUAGCCAUGGGCAGGUUGAAGGUUGGGUAACACUAACUGGAGGACCGAACCGACUAAUGUUGAAAAAUUAGCGGAUGACCUGUGGCUGGGGGUGAAAGGCCAAUCAAACCGGGAGAUAGCUGGUUCUCCCCGAAAGCUAUUUAGGUAGCGCCUCGUGAAUUCAUCUCCGGGGGUAGAGCACUGUUUCGGCUAGGGGGUCAUCCCGACUUACCAACCCGAUGCAAACUGCGAAUACCGGAGAAUGUUAUCACGGGAGACACACGGCGGGUGCUAACGUCCGUCGUGAAGAGGGAAACAACCCAGACCGCCAGCUAAGGUCCCAAAGUCAUGGUUAAGUGGGAAACGAUGUGGGAAGGCCCAGACAGCCAGGAUGUUGGCUUAGAAGCAGCCAUCAUUUAAAGAAAGCGUAAUAGCUCACUGGUCGAGUCGGCCUGCGCGGAAGAUGUAACGGGGCUAAACCAUGCACCGAAGCUGCGGCAGCGACACUGUGUGUUGUUGGGUAGGGGAGCGUUCUGUAAGCCUGUGAAGGUGGCCUGUGAGGGUUGCUGGAGGUAUCAGAAGUGCGAAUGCUGACAUAAGUAACGAUAAAGCGGGUGAAA